GCAGCGGAAGACUAAAAUAAAUCAAAAUUUAUCUUAUAAAGUUAGAGAAUUUCUAAAUCUAAGAUCUUAUUACAUAAUUAUUACAUGGUAUUGAAUCAAAAAUUAAAAUAUAAAGAGCAAGAACUACAUAUUGAUCAUAUCAACAUGUUUCUAUACUACAUCUAGUGUAUGUAAAAUAUAAUAGAUCAAAUCUAUUACCUUGCAAGUUAGACAUUCUAACUUUGCUG
rnacentral:lncRNA from 1 species